ACAGUUUCCAGGCUGGAGAUUGGCACAUGGGGAGCUUGGAUUGAUCCCUAGGGGUUGGGUCCACAUACACGUGGGUGAGCCCCCGUGAGACUCGCUUGUCAAGUCGAGAGGCACUAUGCCUUCUGAACCGCUGAAGGAAAAAGGUCUCCAGAUCGUAUCUGUCCAACCAAAGGAAGCGGAGGAAGGGGAAAAAAAUAGAAAUGAGGAAACAUAAUAAACACAAAACACAAAUAGUUCAAAAACAUGGAAACGGACAACGGUCAUGGGAGAUGCAGGAACACUGCUUUGCCUUCCACGCCAACAAUUUGAAAACAGAGCUGAAAUGAAAAUGCCCGGGGCAGCCUACAUUAUCAGCCUUCUUUCAAGGAUGCGUUCCCCAAAUGAUUAUCCAACCUACUGGUUCUCUGCCCUGGCCUCCAUCAGAACCACCUGAGCUGCGCAGAGAGCACCCGGGGGAACUGGUGUCGCCGGCCUGGCGUGGAGCACAGGCACAGGGCUGUCUUAGCGUCCUCUGCCAGGCAGCCUGGGUGGAGACCGCUGUCCCUGCACUCUGCCACUGACACGAUGAUGAACCGAUUUUGCUCCGGACACCGAAAACCAUUCGUUUGGCCCAGUUUUGUCCUUCCGAGGGCAGGCAACAGCUGGAGCCAGACCAUGAAGCCAGCCAGCAUGGCUAAUUGAAAACCACAAGGGGCUCCCUUCUCCAGAGAGAUGGAGCUGCUCUCAC